rnacentral:rRNA from 1 species
AACGAGCGAGAGAGAGCUUGCUUUCUCGAGCGAGUGGCGAACGGGUGAGUAACGCGUGAGGAACCUGCCUUUCAGUGGGGGACAACAGUUGGAAACGACUGCUAAUACCGCAUAAAGUGUUUUGGGGGCAUCCCCGGAACACCAAAGAUUUAUUGCUGAAAGAUGGCCUCGCGUCUGAUUAGAUAGUUGGUGGGGUAACGGCCUACCAAGUCGACGAUCAGUAGCCGGACUGAGAGGUUGAACGGCCACAUUGGGACUGAGACACGGACCAGACUCC